ACCUGGCUGGCUCAGUCAGUAGAGCAUAGGACUCUUGAUCUCAGGGUCAUGAGUUCAAGCCUCAUGCUGGGUA
rfam:Felis catus isolate Cinnamon breed Abyssinian chromosome A3, whole genome shotgun sequence.